rnacentral:tRNA from 1 species
GUAGGGAUAGCCAAGCAUGGUCUACGGCGCUGGACCGAGGCUCCAGUUCUUAGUGAAACGAGGGUUCAAAUCCCUCUCCCUACA